CAUUAACGCCGCGUGCGGGAUGAAGGCCUUCGGGCUGUAAACCGCUUUCAGCAGGAACGAAAAUGACGGUACCUGCAGAAGAAGGAGCGGCAACUGCGUGCCAGCAGCCGCGGUGACACGUAGGCUCCAAGCGUCGUCCGGAUUUAUUGGGCGUAAAGAGCUCGUAGGCGGUUGAGUAAGUCGGGUGUGAAAACUCUGGGCUUAACCCGGAGACGCCAUCCGAUACUGCUCUGACUUGAGUUCAGGAGGGGACGUGGGGCAUUCCUAGUGUACGCGGUGAAAUGCGCAGAUAUUACGAGGACCACCGGUGGCGACAGGCGCCACUCUGGA
rnacentral:rRNA from 1 species